CUAGUAACGGCGAGUGAAGCGGCAACAGCUCAAAUUUGAAAUCUGGCCCUCGGGUCCGAGUUGUAAUUUGUAGAGGAUGCUUUUGGUGAGGUACCUUCCGAGUUCCCUGGAACGGGACGCCAUAGAGGGUGAGAGCCCCGUCUGGUUGGAUACCGAUCCUCUGUAAAGCUCCUUCGACGAGUCGAGUAGUUUGGGAAUGCUGCUCUAAAUGGGAGGUAUAUGUCUUCUAAAGCUAAAUAUUGGCCAGAGACCGAUAGCGCACAAGUAGAGUGAUCGAAAGAUGAAAAGCACUUUGAAAAGAGAGUUAAAAAGUACGUGAAAUUGUUGAAAGGGAAGCGCUCAUGACCAGACUUGGGCUUGGUUGAUCAUCCAGGGUUCUCCCUGGUGCACUCUUCCAGCUCAGGCCAGCAUCAGUUCGCCGCGGGGGAUAAAGGCUUUGGGAAUGUGGCUCCUCCGGGAGUGUUAUAGCCCACUGCGUAAUACCCUGUAGUGGACUGAGGUUCGCGCAUCUGCAAGGAU
rnacentral:rRNA from 2 species